rnacentral:lncRNA from 1 species
UUCAUUUGAUGGAGCCAACUCGAAGAAUGAAAGCUAAUCUUUCAGAAGGAAGAAUGAAAGCUAAACAAUAUGCAAGGUGCUACGUCAAAAGGUAGCAAUUAGAUGUUUUUCUAUGUUGCACAAAUGCUAUUCGAUGACUAGGGAUAGUUUAAACACAGAUUAUGCAAGGUGCUACAGGUGGAUGUAGUUUUCGCUUCCUUCAUCAUUAGGUAGUUUAUUAGGUAGUUUAUGCAUAUAUCAAACCUUAACUGUCACCAAUGGAUAGAGAUCAGACGAAACAUAUAGGUAAAGGUAGCCAUCAAAUGUCGUGCUUGGUUUCACCAAUGGAGUAUUAAGAAGUAGAAGUGUGGGUUUCACCAAUGGAGUAUUAAGAAGUAGAAGUGUGAAACCUAAUGCAACAUCACUGCUUAAUCAUAAAUAAUGCAUGUUACUUCCUCCGUCC